GAAAACAUCUGCCUUCAUAAAGGUGCUGUCCUUUCCUUCCAGGAUUCCCCAGGGCAUCCUUGGAGUGCCCUCAGUCUGAAUUGGAGAGAAAAGGCAGAGAUGGCACAAGGACCCCUGCUGAGCUGUGAAGCCUGGCUGUGAGGAUCCAUGCACGGAAGCAUCAACAUGUUGCCAGAUUGGUAUACAACUCGGCACCACACUGACAUGCUACUCCCAAACAGUGCCUUUGAAUCAGGACCCAGUCAUCACAUUUGAAGAGAAAAGAAAUAUCCCUGACCACGUUGGGACUUCACAGAGAUGUUUCUGUUCUCUCAAGUUGCUCAGCCAAUCAGGAGACUCUCCCUCACCCUUCUGGAAGAAGAGCACUACCACCAUCACACAAAAGAGUUUUCCUGGAACCAGGAGGCUCACCUUGCACAUCACAAAAUGCUUAGCAACACUCCUGAGCACAGUCCAUAUAUGGAUUUCAGAUUCAGCAUUUCAACACCAGAUUCAGUUAGCCCAGCUGACCUCUGGAUGCCUCAAAGAAUUCAGGUUGAAAGGGUUCAUCCCUGAGUCUCAUGGCAAAACCUCAUCCUCAUUUGCACUGUUAAAAUGUUCCCAGAAUGUCCUCUCACAUGCCCAUAUCAGAAGACAUGACCUCUGUGCCACAGUUGAGAAGGUCUUGGGUGGAUUUUCCAGAAGAGUUAGACCUCAUGAGAUUAGACUCAAGGUAACAGAAAGAAAGCUUGAAGGAAACAGAGACACUGGCCUACAGCAGACAAGCUUUGUGGAACAUGUGAGCAAAGUUUCCAAGUCCCUACGUAUUAAAC
rnacentral:lncRNA from 1 species